UCCUCCAACAGGCUGUGCUUGCAGACUACAUGGAGCCUCUCUUGGGGAUUUUUCUGAACCCUGUGGAUUUACAGUAAGACCCAGUUUCCUGGGGAG
rnacentral:lncRNA from 1 species